rnacentral:lncRNA from 1 species
CUUUUAGGUCAUGGGAAGGACUUUGGCUUUUACUCAAGGUUUCCCUCAAAGAGUGUCAUGAUGAGACUUUGAUGUUAUAGGGAUCCCUUGCCGCAGUGUUGGGACUAGACGGUAGGUAGGGUCAGGCUCAUCUUUUCAGUCAAGUAGGUCAAGGCAUGGCUCCCUGCGUUCUCAGCGCCAGGUGGGGAAAGAGGAAAGUCGUCAUACAUCACUCAGUAUGUGCCUACCACUUUGAUCUUCUGACUGAAAUGGUACCCAAGCCCCUGGCUCUAUCUGGGCCCCUCUGGUUCAGAGAUCUUCCCCUGGCCUGGAGUAGGAGAGGGUGUCUGGAGACCCAUCUUCCUCUUCCUUACCUGCUGCCACCUCCCAAGCCUCUGAGACGUCUGCCACGUUGAUGCCUUGGCAUUCCCCACUCGACUUGCCAGGAGAAACAAAAUUCUUUCUGUGUGAUUGUAUACCUUGAGAGCCAAGAAGAAGAGUCCGAACAGCUAACAGUCCAGUAAAGUGGCCACAUGGAAACAACCCAUGAAAAUCCAUAGCUUCCGGGCCACUACUGUAAUCAGAAAAGACACCAAGAAGAAUAUUCCAUUCUCAGUAGCAACCUGGAAAGAAACUGAAUUGUAACUGAGGAGUAGGACUUACAUGAAGAAAACUACCACACUAUACCCUACUAUUGAAACACAAGAAAAUGCGAACGAAAGUAGAGAGAAGCCGUUUUCCUCAAAGACGUCAUCUCAAAUUUAUUUUUACAUUCCCAUCAUGCUUGGCAUGUAGAAUGUGAUCAGUACAUAUUUGUUGAAUGACAAAAUGAGGGGAUAAAUAAACUUUCCCUAAGAUGUGUAUGUAGACGUUUGAAAAUAGAAGUCUGUCGCUGAUGUUUCUGUCCACCAGGAGUCAGGCUUCAGCCAGGAAAGAGUGAGCCAGUGUCUGAGCUGUCUCUCACCAGGCCUUCCACCAGCUCCAGGUCACCAGGUUCAGGCCAAGACUGAGUUUCAGUAUUUGUCGUUAACCUGGUAGAUAAAUAAACAGUUUUAAAGUAGAGCUUAUGUAUUUGUCUGAUUGCAAAAGUAAUACAUGAUCAUUGCACAUAGGUACAGGAGCAGAUGCAAAAAAAAAAAAAAGCAGAU